ACGGCACCGAGUUUGAGGAAACAAAGCUUCUUCGUACGGUUACCGAUGAUUUGAUUUUUGAGGUCGCGAAGGGCUUUGAGCUUUGUAUCGGUGGAGGAAGAGCUCAAUUUUCCGAUUAGAUCCUCGCGACGGCUGUGAGUCGGAGGCGGCGGCGCCGAUGAUGCUGAGGCCGGCAUGGUUGAGGACAAAUCGGGAAUUUCAUAUGCGGAUGCGACCAACCGAUUGUGCAAAAGAGAAAGUGAGAAAGGAGAACUGGGGAA
rnacentral:lncRNA from 1 species